GAUCCUGGCUCAGGACGAACGCUGGCGGCACGUCUAACACACGCAAGUCGAACGGAGAUGAUUUGAGUUUACUUAGAUCAUCUUAGUGGCGGACGGGUGAGUAACACGUGAGCAACCUGCCUUUGAGAGAGGGAUAGCUUCUGGAAACGGAUGGUAAUACCUCAUAACAUACAGAUACCGCAUGGUGACUGUAUCAAAGAUUUAUCACUCAAAGAUGGGCUCGCGUCUGAUUAGAUAGUUGGUGAGGUAACGGCUUACCAAGUCGACGAUCAGUAGCCGGACUGAGAGGUUGAACGGCCACAUUGGGACUGAGACACGGCCCAGACUCCUACGGGAGGCAGCAGUGGGGAAUAUUGCACAAUGGGGGAAACCCUGAUGCAGCGAUGCCGCGUGGAGGAAGAAGGUUUUCGGAUUGUAAACUCCUGUCUUAAAGGACGAUAAUGACGGUACUUUAGGAGGAAGCUCCGGCUAACUACGUGCCAGCAGCCGCGGUAAUACGUAGGGAGCGAGCGUUGUCCGGAAUUACUGGGUGUAAAGGGAGCGUAGGCGGGACGGCAAGUCAGAUGUGAAAUACAUGGGCUCAACCCAUGGGCUGCAUUUGAAACUGCUGUUCUUGAGUGAAGUAGAGGUAAGCGGAAUUCCUGGUGUAGCGGUGAAAUGCGUAGAUAUCAGGAGGAACACCGGUGGCGAAGGCGGCUUACUGGGCUUUUACUGACGCUGAGGCUCGAAAGCGUGGGGAGCAAACGGGAUUAGAUACCCUGGUAGUCCACGCUGUAAACGAUGAUUACUAGGUGUGGGGGGACUGACCCCUUCCGUGCCGCAGUUAACACAAUAAGUAAUCCACCUGGGGAGUACGGCCGCAAGGUUGAAACUCAAAGGAAUUGACGGGGGCCCGCACAAGCAGUGGAGUAUGUGGUUUAAUUCGAUGAUACGCGAGGAACCUUACCCGGGCUUGAAUUGCAGAGGAAGGAUUUGGAGACAAUGACGCCCUUCGGGGUCUCUGUGAAGGUGCUGCAUGGUUGUCGUCAGCUCGUGCCGUGAGGUGUCGGCUUAAGUGCCAUAACGAGCGCAACCCCUCUCCUUAGUUGCCAUCAGGUUAAGCUGGGCACUCUGGGGACACUGCCACCGUAAGGUGUGAGGAAGGUGGGGAUGACGUCAAAUCAGCACGGCCCUUACGUCCGGGGCUACACACGUGUUACAAUGGCAGGUACAGAGAGACGGUUGUACGUAAGUACGAUCAAAUCCUUAAAGCCUGUCUCAGUUCGGACUGGGGUCUGCAACCCGACCCCACGAAGCUGGAUUCGCUAGUAAUCGCGCAUCAGCCAUGGCGCGGUGAAUACGUUCCCGGGCCUUGUACACACCGCCCGUCAAGCCAUGAAAGCCGGGGGCGCCUAAAGUCCGUGACCGUAAGGAGCGGCCUAGGGCGAAACUGGUAAUUGGGGCUAAGUCGUAACAAGGUA
rnacentral:rRNA from 1 species